rnacentral:rRNA from 1 species
AUUGAACGCUGGCGGCAUGCCUUACACAUGCAAGUCGAACGGCAGCGGGGGAGAAGCUUGCUUUUCCUGCCGGCGAGUGGCGAACGGGUGAGUAAUACAUCGGAACGUGCCCUGUAGUGGGGGAUAACUAGUCGAAAGAUUAGCUAAUACCGCAUACGACCUGAGGGUGAAAGUGGGGGACCGCAAGGCCUCAUGCUAUAGGAGCGGCCGAUGUCUGAUUAGCUAGUUGGUGGGGUAAAGGCCUACCAAGGCGACGAUCAGUAGCUGGUCUGAGAGGACGAUCAGGCAAACGGGGACGGAGACACGGCCCAGACUCCUACGGGAGGCAGCAGUGGGGAAUUUUGGACAAUGGGCGAAAGCCUGAUCCAGCAAUGCUGCGUGUGUGAAGAAGGCCUUCGGGUUGUAAAGCACUUUUGUCCGGAAAGAAAUGGCUCUGGUUAAUACCUGGGGUCGAUGACGGUACCGGAAGAAUAAGGACCGGCUAACUACGUGCCAGCCGCCGCCGUAA